GACGAACCGAGCGAACGUUAUUCGGAAUCACUGGGCUUAAAGGGUGCGUAGGCGGUGUGUCAAGUCAGGCGUGAAAGCCCCGGGCUCAACCUGGGAACAGCGCUUGAGACUGGCACGCUCGAGUUCGGGAGAGGAUGGUGGAAUUCCCAGUGUAGAGGUGAAAUUCGUAGAUAUUGGGAAGAACACCGAUGGCGAAGGCAGCCAUCUGGACCGACACUGACGCUGAGGCGCGAAAGCGUGGGGAGCAAACAGG
rnacentral:rRNA from 1 species